rnacentral:rRNA from 1 species
AUUGAACGCUGGCGGCAGGCCUAACACAUGCAAGUCGAGCGAGCGGCGGACGGGUGAGUAAUGCCUGGGAAUGGCCCAGUCGAGGGGGAAAACAGUUGGAAACGACUGCUAAUACCGCAUACGAUUGGAUUGCCCAGGUGGGAUUAGCCAGUUGGUGGGAUAAUGGCUCACCAAGGCGACGACCCCUAGCUGGUCGGAGUGGAUGAGAAGCCACACUGGAACUGAGACACGGUCCGGACGCCUACGCGAGGCAGCAGUGGGGAAUAUUGCACAAUGGGGGAAGCCCUGAUGCAGCCAUGCCGCGUGUGUGAAGAAGGCCUUCGGGUUGUAAAGCACGUUCAGCGAGGAGGCGUUACUCGCAGAAGAAGCACCGGCUAACUCCGUGCCAGCAGCCGGGGUAAUUC